rnacentral:rRNA from 1 species
GUAGGGAAUCUUCCGCAAUGGGCGAAAGCCUGACGGAGCAACGCCGCGUGAGUGAUGAAGGUCUUCGGAUCGUAAAACUCUGUUAUUAGGGAAGAACAAGGAUGUAAGUAACUGUGCAUCCCUUGACGGUACCUAAUCAGAAAGCCACGGCUAACUACGUGCCAGCAGCCGCGGUAAUACGUAGGUGGCAAGCGUUAUCCGGAAUUAUUGGGCGUAAAGCGCGCGUAGGCGGUUUCUUAAGUCUGAUGUGAAAGCCCACGGCUCAACCGUGGAGGGUCAUUGGAAACUGGGAAACUUGAGUGCAGAAGAGGAAAGUGGAAUUCCAUGUGUAGCGGUGAAAUGCGCAGAGAUAUGGAGGAACACCAGUGGCGAAGGCGACUUUCUGGUCUGCAACUGACGCUGAUGUGCGAAAGCGUGGGGAUCAAACAGGAUUAGAAACCCUAGUAGUCC